rnacentral:rRNA from 1 species
AUUGAACGCUGGCGGCAGGCCUAACACAUGCAAGUCGAACGGUAACAGGAAGCAGCUUGCUGCUUUGCUGACGAGUGGCGGACGGGUGAGUAAUGUCUGGGAAACUGCCUGAUGGAGGGGGAUAACUACUGGAAACGGUAGCUAAUACCGCAUAACGUCGCAAGACCAAAGAGGGGGACCUUCGGGCCUCUUGCCAUCGGAUGUGCCCAGAUGGGAUUAGCUUGUUGGUGGGGUAACGGCUCACCAAGGCGACGAUCCCUAGCUGGUCUGAGAGGAUGACCAGCCACACUGGAACUGAGACACGGUCCAGACUCCUACGGGAGGCAGCAGUGGGGAAUAUUGCACAAUGGGCGCAAGCCUGAUGCAGCCAUGCCGCGUGUAUGAAGAAGGCCUUCGGGUUGUAAAGUACUUUCAUCGGGGAGGAAGGGAGUAAAGUUAAUACCUUUACUCAUUGACGUUACCCGCAGAAGAAGCACCGGCUAACUCCGUG